rnacentral:tRNA from 1 species
AGGGGUUUAGGAUAACAAAAGACCAAGAGCCUUCAAAGCCCUAAGCAAGUACGGAUACUUAACCCCUG